rnacentral:rRNA from 1 species
UGGAGCAUGUGGUUUAAUUCGAAGCAACGCGAAGAACCUUACCAGGUCUUGACAUCCCUGACAACCCGAGAGAUCGGGCGUUCCCCGUUCGGGGGGACAGGGUGACAGGUGUGCAUGGUUGUCGUCAGCUCGUGUCGUGAGAUGUUGGGUUAAGUCCCGCAACGAGCGCAACCCUCGACCUUAGUUGCCAGCAUUCAGUUGGGCACUCUAAGGUGACUGCCGGCUAAAAGUCGGAGGAAGUGGGGAUGACGUCAAAUCAUCAUGCCCCUUAUGACCUGGGCUACACACGUGCUACAAUGGGCGGUACAAAGGGUCGCGAACCCGCGAGGGGGAGCCAAUCCCAAAAAGCCGCUCUCAGUCCGGAUUGCAGGCUGCAACUCGCCUGCAUGAAGCCGGAAUCGCUAGUAAUCGCGGAUCAGCAUGCCGCGGUCGAAUACGUUCCCGGGCCUU